rnacentral:rRNA from 1 species
UGAGUAACCUGCCCUUCACUCUGGGAUAACUCCGGGAAACCGGUGCUAAUACUGGAUACGACCUACUCGGGCAUCCGAUGUGGGUGGAAAGAUUUAUUGGUGAAGAAUGGACUCGCGGCCUAUCAGCUUGUUGGUGGGGUAAUGGCCCACCAAGGCGACGACGGGUAGCCGGCCUGAGAGGGCGACCGGCCACACUGGGACUGAGACACGGCCCAGACUCCUACGGGAGCAG